rnacentral:rRNA from 1 species
UGAGGAAUAUUGGUCAAUGGACGAAAGUCUGAACCAGCCAAGUAGCGUGCAGGAAGACGGCCCUAUGGGUUGUAAACUGCUUUUAUGCGGGGAUAAAGUUAGUCACGUGUGACUAUUUGCAGGUACCGCAUGAAUAAGGACCGGCUAAUUCCGUGCCAGCAGCCGCGGUAAUACGGAAGGUCCGGGCGUUAUCCGGAUUUAUUGGGUUUAAAGGGAGCGUAGGCCGUGGAUUAAGCGUGUUGUGAAAUGUAGACGCUCAACGUCUGACUUGCAGCGCGAACUGGUUCACUUGAGUGUGCGCAACGCAGGCGGAAUUCGUGGUGUAGCGGUGAAAUGCUUAGAUAUCACGAAGAACUCCGAUUGCGAAGGCAGCUUGCGGGAGCACAACUGACGCUGAAGCUCGAAAGUGCGGGUAUCAAACA